rnacentral:lncRNA from 13 species
UGAGUCCUAGAGAAAUAAACAAGUAUAAGUUAUUACUGUGCGAUUACCAUUUUACCCUUUACAUUCUAAUAACUGGUCAUUUCUGUAGCGUAAAAUAAAGUGAUUGUGUAUCCUCCAUCCCCAGGUGUCCUACCUAUGGGAGGAGAUUCCGUGGCUGCAGCAGUGUCUCAGCCCCUCCCAGUCCUUCUGCACAUGCACCCUCCAGACACGCCUCAAGAUGCUGCAGGCCAUCUCCCAGCUCCAGGAGAAGCUGGCAUUCCACAGACGGAGCAGGAAGCUCCUCUGCCCAGGCCUGUACCUGGGUUACCUGAAGCUGUGUAGCGCCAUGGACCAGAGCAGAGCCCUGGUGCCUCAAAAGCUGCCCAACAUCCUUUGUCACACCAAGAUACGAAACAACAGUAAUGUGUCUAGGUGAAGUAGCGGGAUAUCUGGGUUUAUUAGUGAAUUUAUUAACUUCAUGUUACAGUAUUGUUAUUGAAACACUAGCUGUUGUCUGUAAUACAUUUGUGUGUGUGUGUGUGCGUGUGCACGUGUGCGUGUGCAUGUGUGUGUGUGUGAGUGUCAGGUAGGAGUGUCAGUUCUUUGGAGGAGUCUCUGGAGAUGGACCAGGAUGUCCAGAGCACUCCACACCGCCUCCUACAGGACCUACGCAGUGCUGCCAAGGACCUCAUGACCCACAGGUCACCCAGGCACAAGAAUUCCGUAUCUCUGCCCAGGAAGUGUUGGAGUUUGGGGACAAGGUGUCCUUUCCUGCUACUGCUGCCCCCCUCAGACAACGUGUGUACAGCCCCAGGCCAGAACAACCCCUACUCCCUCUGAUCAGGCUUUCUCACCUUGCCUCUGCAGGUCUUUGAGCUGGGUCAGUACUGCUCUGUCUAGUAGGAUUUCCUUAUUUUUUCCCAUUACUGUUAUUUAUUCAACUAUGUACAUUCAGUUGACCUCAGGUUAGUUGGCUUAUUGUGACUUACAAUGGUUUGUGCAGUUGACUCCAAAUGAAUGCUUGAGACUGUUGUGACAGUGUGCACUAAACCCAAAGCAAUUAAAAGUAAUUAAAAAGUUAUGUGAAACUUAUCUGAAGUACACUGAUCAGGAGUCAACUGCAUAAAGUGCAUUUGUGACUGACCGGCUCAAAUUGGUUUUAUGUAGCAAAAUUUGAAAUUGUUUAUUUUUACAUUGGAUAAAAGUAGAGACUCAGAUCUACAAAAUGGUAUAUCACAUACUGCAUUUUUGAGGAACAAUGGGAAAGUAAUUCUGCUUUAAAAGUUGAUAAACUUGAAAACUCACUUUUAAGAAAAGGGCCUUUGAAUGUUUUGGUACCUACUGGAGAGCUCUCCUUUGUCUACAUCCAUUCAGCAUUGUUAACACCCUCUUAAACCAGCCCUCAUCUCUUUAAGGAUUCACAUGUGAGGUCAUGUGCUAAACAGUGAAUAGUGUAGUAAAGAUUAAGACUAAAAGUGGUAGUAGCCUACAAUAAGGAAAAAUUCCAGGUAAACAGAAAGUGUCCAGUUAAAAAUAUUUUAUAAAUAUUAGAUGACGCUUACCCAGACACACUUGUCAUAAAUUGAUGGGUCAUGUGAAAGAAAUGCUAUAACCCCCAGC